UUUGGUUUUUCGAGACAGGGUUUCUCUGUGUAGCUUUGCGCCUUUCCUGGAACUCACUUGGUAGCCCAGGCUGGCCUCGAACUCACAGAGAUCCGCCUGGCUCUGCCUCCCGAGUGCUGGGAUUAAAGGCGUGCGCCACCACCGCCCGGCUCUAUCUUUUAUCUUAAGGAAACAAAUUAGCCUUCAUUUACUUCAGCUGACUUCUAAAGUCACUAAUUUUGGAGAUCAUGAAGCAGAGCAAUGUCUCCUUAGUCCCUCACUAAGUCACCGUAGACAAUGCCUCCAACUUGGGUUUCGUAACACCAGCUGAGUGUGCCACCUCUCCAGGCUCAGCUUUUUGCUAAAAGCACUGGCUCUGCUUGGAUCUGCAGAGGUCUGGUGAGCCGCUAAAACAAGAUGAAAUGCUUGACAUCUCUGACUCUGCACAUUGUCUGUCUCCUUUGCCCCCUUAAGCUUUGGGUCAGAUUUCUGUUCAACUUUAAACUCUUGAUAUUAACCAUUUGAGAACCGCUUCACGUGAAACUGUAAUACAAAGUCGAUUUCUCUUAAAUUUACCUCAUGUAAGAGUGACUAAGAUAAUAGGCCACUGGCUUAGCUUCUAGCAGUCUCUGGAAUCCUGUCUUUUUUUCCUUAUGCCCUGCUCCUUCCUCUCCUCCUUAAACCCUUCAGAUACCCGAGGUGCUCUUUAUUCUCUGGUUUUCCAGAUGAAUCUUUUUUCUUGCCCCAACAACUUGCCCCUAAGUCAUUCCCCUUUUGGGAUGGUAGAAACAAAGGUAGGUGGGCCUCCCGGCUUUUAGCUCACAGUUAAUGCUGUGUAUCUGUUUCCUCUGGGUUAAGCAUGAUAACAGAUGUCUUAAACCAUAGCAACUGUGACCACUAGUAGACGACCCUUACCAAACCAGGUCUAUAAACAUUCCCUCAUGCGAGGAUUGGAGAGGCUCACCAAGGUUAUAUAAGAGGUGGGACUCUUUGGUGGUGUGACUGCCUCUGAGCCAUCCAGGCUCCUGUAGAUAACACCAAUGAGCAUGUUGUUUUACCAGGCUGGACUGGAUAGAAUCUACAAAAGCCCUCACUGUCUGAGGCGAAUAGAAAUAAACAUUGCUUUAUGUUUCUUGAGAAAAAAAAAAAUCUUGUUGACAGCUAGCCAGUCCUAGGAUUCCCAGGUCAGUCCCAGCAGCCUACGGGGCCGUUUGUUGCUCUAGAGAACCUUCCCUAGACCCCCUGACCUGGCAUUGACUAUUUUUGUGCCUGAUGGUUGGACCAAAGAAAAGGAUGGUCCGUGAGGUUAUAGAUUUGGAAUUCAAGUAGAGUAAAUUUCCUUGAGAUGUGUGCUCAGAACUCUCCUCUGAGUUUUUUGAGGUGGUUCAAUGGGUAAAGGGGCGUGCAGAGCAAGGCUGGUAACCUGAGAAUGGUUCCUGGAUCCCAGCCCGUGUGAUGACUUCAUCUGGGGACUACUCCAUGUGUGUAACUUCACUUGGGAACCAGUCCACAUGUGUAACUUCACUUGGGGACCAGUCCACAUGUGUAACUUCACUUGGAGACCAACCCAUGUGUGUGACUUCACUUGGGGACCACCCCAUGUGUGUGACUUCACCUGGGGACCAUACUAUGUGUGUGACUUUAUCUGGGGACCACCUCAUGUGUGUGACUUCACCUGGGGACCAUACCAUGUGUGUGACUUUAUCUGGGGACCACCUCAUGUGUGUGACUUCACCUGGGGACCAUACCAUGUAUGUGACUUUAUCUGGGGACCACCUCAUGUGUGUGGCUUCACAUGGGGACCAUACCAUGUAUGUGACUUUAUCUGGGGACUACUUCAUGUGUGUGACUUCACAUGGGAACCAGCCCAUGUGUGUGACUUCACCUGGGGACCAUACCAUGUGUGUGACUUCACCUGGGGACCACCCCAUGUGUGUGACUUCACUUUUGGUUAUCAGAUUGGGAAGCAUGCCAUCAGCCUCCAAGGAAAAGCCCACUGAGGCAAGUUUUGAGAUUAACUAUGGGCAUGAACCUAUGAAAAGGAAAAAGAUGGUUGUCUGUGGUAACACUACCUACCCCAAAUAUUCUUUAGGACUGGGGGUGGGGGGAGGGAAUGUUCUGAAAAUGGAUCUUGAAGAUAGCAUUGGGCAGAACGCAAUUCAAACUUGCCAAUGUAAACUGCCUCUGGAAUUCCUAGACAUUUCUUUGGUGGAUCUGUAGCUACUCCAUUCUUGGGUUAAAAAAAAUUAUUUUGCACAUUUACUGAGCUCAUGACAACAACUAUCCAAUCAGUGGUGUCUACCCCUGUGCCAAGUAGACUCAUUCACCUUCCUCUGGGGUUACAGCAGCUUUCGUCAACUUGACACAGACCUACACACUCCUGGGAAGAGGGAAUCCCACUGAGGAAUUGCCUCCAUCAGAUUGGCCUGUGGGCAAAUAAACCCUCUCCUGCCCAAGUUGAUUUUGGUCAUGGUGGUCAUCACAGCAACAGAGAUAGAAUAUCUGGUGGUGAGCUUAAUCUGGGUGAUGCUGAAGGCAACCAAGUCCUUGGCUGGAGUUGCAAUAUCGGAUCCCAGGACCUGUGAGCUGGUGAGGACGCCAGCUGAGCUGUCUGAGGAGGAGCUGCUGUCUGAGGACAGGUGUUCAGCUUCUGUGGAGAUGAUUCCUGUUAGCUUAGCACCUGCCUAGGGCCUUGUUUAAGGAUAAACUUGAGGCCUUCCAGCGUUGACAGGUUCAACAGAAGCAGGCGUUUGAAAGGAUGCAAGGCCGGUUAAGGUGUUGUGAAAAUAGGAGUCUGAUGAAAGGAACGUGGUGGCCUAGGACAUCUCAAGGGCCCAGCCACAGCAGGAGGAGAAAGACCAGCCACAUGGCUUCAGGCUCAGCAGAAAUGCCUCAGCGAUCAAGAAGGCCCAGCUUCAACAGCCACCCACUUGAGAGAGCUCGCCAGGUGUCCGCACACAGAGGAGGAGCCAGGUGACACCUGGUAAUUGGCAAAGAGGUGGCACCAUGGCCAAGUGGCACAGGUAUUCCAGCGGCUUAGCUUACCUAAACAGAGGUUAUUUUUAUAUCUGUGACUCCAAGCUCAGGAAGAAUCGGAAAUGCCCAAGUGGCCGAGGUGCCAUGGACCUCAGAGAGUGUCUGACCUUCCCAUUUUACAGACAAGGACACUGAGGCCUGGGAAGACAAGGGACACUUGGGGUUCACACAGCUUAACAUGAAGACUGAGGUGAUAGAGCUGGUCCCCCAGCUCCCUGUCCAGCGCUAUCUCAGUCAAAAUGAGGGGAAUAGUAAGAGCGGUCCUAUCAACCACAGCCGUGAGUGGGCAUCUCUGUUCCCUGGCAAAGUUGGCAGAGGCUUCAGCCUGGCAGAGCUCUUGCCGUUCUAACACAACCACGAAGGGCCGAGGGAAAGUCACUUCAAGGUUAAGGGAUAAAGAGUUUUUCCCUUAGCUCAUAGUUUAAAAAUGCAAAGAAUUGACUCUGUUGGACAUUCGGAAAAUGACUAACUAGAUUUGCAACUGGUUAUAUCUUUGGCCCAAGAAGAUUCCAACCAAUCUCUGAAUGCCACAUUUAAUCUCUGAUCCACUUUAAGAGGGAUGGUGGGUACCCACAACAGAAAACAGCCACUCCUAACCCAACCUGUUAGCUUCCGCUGGUGAGAAGACCCACCCUAAAUCUGGGCCACAUCUUCUGGUAGCAGCUCACAUAAAAGGCCAUGGAAGAAGGGUGCUUUUGCUUUUUUGUCUGCUUGCCCUCACUUCUGCUGGCAAGCUCAUCUAUCCUGCUGCUGGGGCGUUCCUUCGAUGGUAUCAGAGUCCACUUCUUUCUGGUUCCAACACAGAGUGAAGACCAGCUGAGGCAUCCAGCCUCGUGGAUGGAACAAACUACCAUAUUCCUGACCUUUCCAUCAGGAGACAGUCCGUGUUGGACUAGCCAGACCACAGCCUGUGAGUCAUUCUAAUAAAUCCCCUUUUAAUAUACACAAAUUCUAUCUGUUCUG